ensembl:lncRNA
CUUUAGUACAGCCUGCUCUUCCUUUGUUGCUUCCAGUUGCAUUACUGAGCAUAAUGAAAACUGCAUGGUUAGCAUGUAUGUUGAAGCAAAAGUUUCAAAGAGAAAGGCUUGAAGGUGCCUAUCUAGUGAUAAGUAUCUGUAGGGGAGCAUCUGGGCAGAUUAUCCAAAGCCACUAGGAGCUGGCACAGAAAGGAUGGUGUGGUGACAAGUCAUGUUUGCAGCCACAGGAACAAAGAUCUCAGUGAACCUGGAAGCUGGUGUCGGGGACGUGACAUCUCACUAGACCGGCCAGAGAAGGUGAC